GCAUUGUUGAGGAGUCCCAUACUAGGACGAAACGAUCGUCCAAUGC
rnacentral:hammerhead_ribozyme from 1 species